AAACGUUAAUCUAAACAAGAUAGUUGAUUUCGACUCAACAUAUCUAGGAUAUAUCCCUAGACGUUUAC
rnacentral:tRNA from 1 species